rnacentral:rRNA from 1 species
UUUGGUGGCGAUAGCGAAGAGGUCACACCCGUUCCCAUACCGAACACGGAAGUUAAGCUCUUCAGCGCCGAUGGUAGUCGGGGGUUUCCCCCUGUGAGAGUAGGACAGCCGCCAAGC